GGUGCGGAAAUUUAGUGGUGUAUUUCGAUUAUUUGGUGGUGUUCUACCAUAUCACAAAAAAUAUAUAUAAACUGCUGAUCUUACUUAGCGCUUCAUUCUCUUUCCGGUUAGGCUGUCAGAUAGAUCUAUGAUAGAUAGGAAUUUUGUAUUUAUAUCUAGCCAUCCUUCUAAAUAGUGAAAUGUAUUUAGUUUGAUUUUGGUUUAUUUCUAUCAUUGAGUAUUUAGUCUCGCGUUAUAUGUUAUUAUUUCAAUUGUAUUGAGAUUAUUUACAACGAUAUUCGGGCUGUUAAAAUAACUACUUUAUACUCUGUCUGAACACUUUUAUUUUUCACCAUAUAGGAAUGAGAGAGAGACGCACUUGCCAAGAUUAUAAUGUCAUAUGUCGUUAGGAGCUUAUCCUUUGACGUUUUUUAUUGACAAGUAUUAGCUUGGUUAUGAAGAAUUGAGAGAACUAUAUCAUACGUCGAAUUCUAUGUAUAAAAGAAAAACUGUAUAAACCAAGAUGAAGCUGAAA